CGGGUGAGUAACACGUGGGUAACCUGCCUGUAAGACUGGGAUAACUCCGGGAAACCGGGGCUAAUACCGGAUAAGUUUUUCCUUCGCAUGGAGGAAAAAUAAAAGAUGGCUUUUGCUAUCACUUACAGAUGGACCCGCGGCGCAUUAGCUAGUUGGUGCGGGUAAUGGCCCACCAAGGCAACGAUGCGUAGCCGACCUGAGAGGGUGAUCGGCCACAUUGGGACUGAGACACGGCCCAAACUCCUACGGGAGGCAGCAGUAGGGAAUCUUCCGCAAUGGACGAAAGUCUGACGGAGCAACGCCGCGUGAGUGAAGAAGGUUUUCGGAUCGUAAAACUCUGUUGUCAGGGAAGAACAAGUGCUGUUCGAACAGGGCGGCACCUUGACGGUACCUGACCAGAAAGCCACGGCUAACUACGUGCCAGCAGCCGCGGUAAUACGUAGGUGGCAAGCGUUGUCCGGAAUUAUUGGGCGUAAAGCGCGCGCAGGCGGCUUCUUAAGUCUGAUGUGAAAUCUUGCGGCUCAACCGCAAGCGGUCAUUGGAAACUGGGAGGCUUGAGUGCAGAAGAGGAGAGUGGAAUUCCACGUGUAGCGGUGAAAUGCGUAGAGAUGUGGAGGAACACCAGUGGCGAAGG
rnacentral:rRNA from 2 species